GGGGAAUAUUGCACAAUGGGGGAAACCCUGAUGCAGCCAUGCCGCGUGUGUGAAGAAGGCCUUCGGGUUGUAAAGCACUUUCAGCGAGGAGGAAAGGUUGGUAGCUAAUAACUGCCAACUGUGACGUUACUCGCAGAAGAAGCACCGGCUAACUCCGUGCCAGCAGCCGCGGUAAUACGGAGGGUGCAAGCGUUAAUCGGAAUUACUGGGCGUAAAGCGCACGCAGGCGGUUGGAUAAGUUAGAUGUGAAAGCCCCGGGCUCAACCUGGGAAUUGCAUUUAAAACUGUCCAGCUAGAGUCUUGUAGAGGGGGGUAGAAUUCCAGGUGUAGCGGUGAAAUGCGUAGAGAUCUGGAGGAAUACCGGUGGCGAAGGCGGCCCCCUGGACAAAGACUGACGCUCAGGUGCGAAAGCGUGGGGAGCAAA
rnacentral:rRNA from 1 species